UACAGAGGUGGCAAGCGUUGUUCGGAAUUACUGGGCGUAAAGGGCGCGUAGGCGGCCUACUAAGUCAGACGUGAAAUCCCCCGGCUUAACCUGGGAACUGCGUCUGAUACUGGAAGGCUUGAGGAUGGGAGAGGGAUGUAGAAUUCCACGUGUAGCAGUGAAAUGCGUAGAGAUGUGGAGGAAUACCGAUGGCGAAGGCGGCAUCCUGGACCAUGACUGACGCUGAGGAGCGAAAGCCAGGGGAGCAAACGGGG
rnacentral:rRNA from 1 species